rnacentral:rRNA from 1 species
UACGUAGGGUGCGAGCGUUAAUCGGAAUUACUGGGCGUAAAGCGUGCGCGGGCGGUUUUGUAAGUCAGAUGUGAAAUCCCCGGGCUUAACCUGGGAACUGCGUUUGAAACUACAAGGCUAGAGUGUGGCAGAGGGGGGUGGAAUUCCACGUGUAGCAGUGAAAUGCGUAGAGAUGUGGAGGAACACCGAUGGCGAAGGCAGCCCCCUGGGUUAACACUGACGCUCAGGCACGAAAGCGUGGGGAGCAAACAGG